rnacentral:rRNA from 1 species
UACGGAGGAUGCGAGCGUUAUCCGGAUUUAUUGGGUUUAAAGGGUGCGCAGGCGGCCUUUUAAGUCAGUGGUGAAAUCCCGAAGCUUAACUUCGGACUUGCCAUUGAAACUGGGAGGCUUGAGUGUAGAUGAAGUAGGCGGAAUUCGUUGUGUAGCGGUGACAUGCUUAGAUAUAACGAGGAACUCCGAUUGCGUAGGCAGCUUACUAAACUAUAACUGACGCUCAUGCACGAAAGCGUGGGGAUCAAACAGG